GACCCGGUGGUGUAGUGGUUAGCACGUCAGCGUACUAUUGACAAGCGAUAUGAAGUAUUAUGCAGGAAAUCCUCGUUCGACUCGGGGUCGGGUCA